rnacentral:lncRNA from 1 species
GAGGCAACAACAUCAAGCAGCUACUUACUCUGAGGGAGGUCUGAAUGCCAUAUUGUGAGCGGCCCUGCUGAAAGACCCAUGUGGCAAGGAUCUGAGAUCAUUGGCCAACAGGCUGCAAAGAGUCCUACCAACAGCCAGGCUGGUGUUCUUGGAAGUGGAUCUUCUCCUACUCUCCUACUUGAGAUGACUGCAGCCCCAGCUAACACUUCGAUUGCAGCCUUGUUAAGAUAUCACGGGCCAGACACACCCAGCUAAGUUAUGCCUGAGUUACUAGCCCACAGAAAUGAUAAGAUAAUAAAUAUUUGCUGUUUUA